rnacentral:sRNA from 1 species
ACGAGUAGUAGAUGGCGGUGUCAUCGGCU